rnacentral:rRNA from 1 species
CAGUCAUACCAACGGGAAAUCAACCUUUUGAGCUCGGUCUCGUGGGUUUUGAAGAGUUUCAAAGCCUUCGGAUUCGCGGGAUUGGGAUCUCUCGGUGUACUUUUUCGUACGGUUAGUCAACAUCGGUUUUGAAUGUCAUAAAAUGACUGGAGGAAUGUAGCUUCGAUCUCGUAUUGAAGUGUUAUAGCCUUUGGUAGAUGUGAUGUUUGAGACCGAGGAUUGCAACGGAUACCCUUCAGGGCUAUUCGUCUGAUCUCUGAUACGUUGCCCUGAUGUUGAAAGCUUGCUUAUGAUGUUAGGGUAUUACGGUCAAAAGGUUAGAACGAAUUACA